rnacentral:rRNA from 1 species
GACGUAGGGCGCGAGCGUUGUCCGGAUUUAUUGGGCGUAAAGAGCUCGUAGGCGGCUCGUUGCGUCGGCUGUGAAAACCCGCAGCUCAACUGUGGGCUUGCAGCUGAUACGGGCGGGCUGGAGUUCGGUAGGGGAGACUGGAAUUCCUGGUGUAGCGGUGAAAUGCGCAGAUAUCAGGAGGAACACCGGUGGCGAAGGCGGGUCUCUGGGCCGAUACUGACGCUGAGGAGCGAAAACGUGGGGAGCGAACAGG